GCAGUGUUUAAAUCUUUUCUUCGCUUCUGACAUUUUCUCUCUCUCUCUCUCUCUCUCUCUCUGUGUGUCUCUCCCUUGGACAAUGCUUGGCAGCCAGUCCUAGUCCUGGAUAGCAUCCAAAGGCGUUUGUGGGCUUUGUGGGUGAGCGUGACAGGCCCAAGCAUAUCACCAAGGUGCCGACUGACUGCUGGAAGCUGUCCUGGGGACGAAGGGAGCAGGAGCUAGCAGGAGUGUUGCCGGGCGAUGGCAGGUCAGUGAAUGCUCCUCGUACACGGUGUCAGGCUCUGUAAUUCUGCAUUGCAGUCUCAGCCUGACAGGCUUGGCACAGGAUCUGAGCAAGUGUCUGUCUG